ACAAACACUUUCACUAACAAAUGAAAGCUCAAGUUCUUCAAUUAAGAUCAGAAUUAAAGACUAGCAAGAAAGGUAACUGAUCAAUCUCUGAGCAUGUCCUUCAAAUUUGAGCUAUAGUUGACUUCUUGUUAGUUGUUGGUGAUCCAAUAUCUGAAAGGAACCAAAUAGAUGCAAUACUUCAAGGAUUCCCUAAAAAAUACCACCAUUUUAUUAUGAUGAUCUAUGGCAAGGUUAAACUAACUGCUAUAUGAUGUUGAUUCACUUCUAUAUGUUCAAGAAGCAUAGUUGGACAAGUUUCUCCGAGAACUUUCGACUUCAAGUGCAAGCUAAUGGUGAUUAAGUUGUAACCAAUAGUUUCCCCGGAUAAAAUGAAGGUGCACCAGGCUCCUAUCAACAUUUUCGUGGUGGUGCCCACUCAGUUUGAGGCAGCGAGGGUGGAAGACAGGUUCAUAGCAUAAGGAAUCAACCAAUUUGCCAACUUUGCAGUAAAUAUGAACACUCACUUAUUGGCCGCUGGCGUGGAUAUGCUGAAAAUUUUAAACCUCCACCACUGAAGCAUCAAACACAUGCCUCAUUCUCAAAUGGUACUAAUGAUGGUCUUGACAGUCAGAGGAAUCAAUCUUCUAUAGUUGCUCAAGCAGCUACUCCAUUGACUCAUCAAGACAGUCUUCAGGUUCCACAAGGUCUAGAGUUUCAGGCAUGAUUUGUAGACUCGGGUGAAUCCCAUCAUAUUACUUCUUGUCCAUCAAACUUACAAAAUGAUCAUUCUUGUACUUAUCCAAAUGAAUUUUUAGUUGGUAAUGGUCAUAGCUUAGCAGUCAAGUUAGUUGGUUUCUCAAAAUUCAAGUCCAACAUUGUGUUAACUUCUAUGCUAAAGUUAAAUAAUCUCUUUCAUGUAUCUAGCACCACUAGGCAUCUAAUGUUAGUUUCUAAAUAUGCUAAAGAUAACAAUGUUUAAUUUUAGUUUUAUACUAACCAAUGCUAUGUUAAAUCAUAUGCAUCUAUCUUGGUGUUGCUUGAAUGGUUUCUUGAUGAUAGUGGAUUGUACUCCUUCAAGAAUCUAGUUUUAGAACCUUCAAAUAAUUUCAUGUACAAUAAGCCUCAAAUUUUUUACCAUGUUGUUAAUAAUACUACUUCUAGCCUUAGGUAUGAUAGUGAAGUUUCUAUUCCAAAUAAUGUUUCCCUUUGACACUCUAGAUUAGGACAUGCUAAUUCUAGAGCCACUCAUAACAUACUUGCAUGAAGUAAUAUUCAUUUGAGUUAUAAGAA
rnacentral:lncRNA from 1 species